AAGGUGGGAGGUCUUUCUCACAGGUCAGAAAGCAUCCCCUACCACCAAAGCCCCCAAAGGAGGAAGCCGCUGGAGACCAGGCUCUGGGCACUUCUCCCUCCUCAGAACAGCCAGACUGCCUCGGGUGCAGCUGGCCGUUUUGAGGGCUGCCCGGGUGUGGAGCGUGCGCUCUGCAGAAGGCUCUGCCCAGUGACCCUGGGUCUUCAGAUGAAGUGGAGCUCCAAUCAAGGAGCCUCAUACACCUGGACCUGACUUUGAUGCAGUCCUGGACUUCAAGGCAAUUCCAUGAAAAGGACAUGAAUUAUAGUGGCUGGGAUGAGUAGACUCCACGCCCAAUGUGGAUCUCGAACCGAUGAUCCUGAGAUCAAGAGUCGCAUGCUGUACUGACUGAGCCAACCGGGCGCCGCUCCAUGAAAAUGUUCUAACAUUGUGUAAUGGUGGCACAGCUCUGAAGAUACUAAAAACCAUUGAAUUGUAUACUUUAAAUGGUCAGUUGUAUGGUAUGUGAAUUUUAUCUCAAUAAAGCUGUCGUGAAAGUGAGGGCAGCCUGAUGUCUGGCAGCUCGGGUAUAGACGGUGCCACCCCUCCCCCCUCCAGCCAAGAAUCAAUUAUAAAUAACUCCACCCGCAUGAAUAACGGAACAUAAGUAACCUACAACGUCGGCCAGUAUGAAGUGGUUAUUUUAAUUUGGGAUCCACUAAAAUUACUGUAACCCUAGAAGAGUAUCAAAAUAAAUAUUA